GACUAACGCUGGCGGCGUGCCUAAUACAUGCAAGUCGAACGGGAUUCUUUGAUCAGCUUGCUGAGAGAAGGAUCUAGUGGCGGACGGGUGAGUAACGCGUGGGAAUCUGCCUCUUACUGGGGGAUAACAGUGGGAAACUACUGCUAAUACCGCAUAAGAUCUUCGGAUGAAAGGUGCAACUGCACCGGUAAGAGAUGAGCCCGCGUCCCAUUAGCUAGUUGGUGAGGUAAAGGCUCACCAAGGCGACGAUGGGUAGCCGGCCUGAGAGGGUGAACGGCCACACUGGGACUGAGACACGGCCCAGACUCCUACGGGAGGCAGCAGUAGGGAAUCUUCCGCAAUGGGCGCAAGCCUGACGGAGCGACGCCGCGUGAGUGAUGAAGGCCUUCGGGUCGUAAAGCUCUGUUCUUGAGGACGAAUAAGCCAGGGAGUGGAAAGCCCUGGUGAUGACUGUACUCAAGGGAAAGCUCCGGCUAACUACGUGCC
rnacentral:rRNA from 1 species